rnacentral:lncRNA from 1 species
CAAGAUGAGCAAUAAAGAGGAAAGAGAGGAAGGGGACAGCCUUGCCAUUUAGGGUCCCGUGAAAAGCUCAGAGAGCCAAGCAACUUGAUUUUACUUGCCUCUAUUUACAAUCAUAAAAGUAUUAUUAUUAAUGAUGCUGUUUUACAUUUUAUAGCUCCUUUUCAGCUUGAGCGAUCCCAAAGGGUUUUGCAAACUACAUGUGCGUGGUUUCACUGUCUUCCUGAGACCAUUGCUCUCUCUCCCCUCUCAAGAAGCCUCUUACUAACAACAGCAGAAGCAGUGAUGGUAGCAAUAAUCAACAGAAAAAAGACACUUUCUGGCUUCAAAGUAUUGGAAAUCUCAGAGAAAAGAAGAGUUUGGUCUACACAGGAGGGUCAUGAGAACUUGGAUUCAAAUCCUGGCUUUGCCACUUCUUUGUAUGGCUUUGAGCAACAUUCUUAAUUUUUUAUGCCUCAGUUUCCUGGUCUGUAAAAUGGGUGUGAUAAUGGCACCUACCUCAUAGGUUGUUGUGAGAAUUAAUUUAGAUAAUAUGCAAAAUACUUAAAGAGCCUGGCAUAGAACAAGUAUUCUGUAAAACCAACCACUGCAUUGGGAAAUGUGGCAGUAUAAUAUAAUGAGAAGUAAAUAGAAGACCUAAAACUCAUAGAGCCAGUCUCUCCUUUCUCUUAGUCCUCUGGGAGAACCUGCAUGUGGCACCUACAGCUAUAAGGGUAGCACCAGACCCCAUUCAGCUUUGAGAUAUUACCUGAAGUUUCAUUUCUGAAAUCCUCACCCCCGGCCCCAGAGGCCCAAGCUCAGCCAAGCCCAACCCCUGCACUCCUCCCUGCGCAUUGUACAGACUCAGCACAGGGUCACACUCACAGUAGGCCACCAGAGGCUGAUCUGUUGCUUAGGCUGCUAGGCUGGCAACUGUAAGGGGCUGUUGGCUUGGUCUGGAAAAGUGGGAGGGAAUGGAAUAUGGGCAGGAAUUAGUCAGUGGGACCCAGGUAUCUGGGAGGAGUUGCACUAGUCCUGCCCAGAGACUGCACUGGUGGUGUGUCUGCACCUGUGGUGUGUCUGCCCCUCUGGGGAGCCGGCAACAGACCUAGCUUGACUCUAAGGCCCUGAGGAUUGCUGUUUCUACUUUUGGUCGCCUGCUUAUCAUUUCCUUUUGUUUUUUAAUUACAUAGAUAAUGUAUUCUUGUUGAAGAAAUAGAUGCAGUAAUAUAGUGAAAAUAAUGCCGUAAUACAGUGAAAGCAAGCCCUUCCUUACCCCUCUCCUUUAUCACACUUUCCAAAAAAACCCAUUUAGCAAAAUUGCAGACUUCCUU